GAUCAUGGCUCAGGAUGAACGCUAGCUACAGGCUUAACACAUGCAAGUCGAGGGGAAACGACAUCGAAAGCUUGCUUUUGAUGGGCGUCGACCGGCGCACGGGUGAGUAACGCGUAUCCAACCUGCCCACCACUUGGGGAUAACCUUGCGAAAGUAAGACUAAUACCCAAUGAUAUCUCUAGAAGACAUCUGAAAGAGAUUAAAGAUUUAUCGGUGAUGGAUGGGGAUGCGUCUGAUUAGCUUGUUGGCGGGGUAACGGCCCACCAAGGCAACGAUCAGUAGGGGUUCUGAGAGGAAGGUCCCCCACAUUGGAACUGAGACACGGUCCAAACUCCUACGGGAGGCAGCGGUGAGGAAUAUUGGUCAAUGGGCGUAAGCCUGAACCAGCCAAGUAGCGUGCAGGAUGACGGCCCUAUGGGUUGUAAACUGCUUUUAUGCGGGGAUAAAGUGAGGGAUGUAUCCCUUUUUGCAGGUACCGCAUGAAUAAGGACCGGCUAAUUCCGUG
rnacentral:rRNA from 1 species